rnacentral:rRNA from 1 species
AGCGUACACGGUGGAUGCCCUGGCAGUCAGAGGCGAUGAAGGACGUGCUAAUCUGCGAUAAGCGUCGGUAAGGUGAUAUGAACCGUUAUAACCGGCGAUUUCCGAAUGGGGAAACCCAGUGUGUUUCGACACACUAUCAUUAACUGAAUCCAUAGGUUAAUGAGGCGAACCGGGGGAACUGAAACAUCUAAGUACCCCGAGGAAAAGAAAUCAACCGAGAUUCCCCCAGUAGCGGCGAGCGAACGGGGAGCAGCCCAGAGCCUGAAUCAGUGUGUGUGUUAGUGGAAGCGUCUGGAAAGGCGCGCGAUACAGGGUGACAGCCCCGUACACAAAAAUGCACAUAUUGUGAGCUCGAUGAGUAGGGCGGGACACGUGGUAUCCUGUCUGAAUAUGGGGGGACCAUCCUCCAAGGCUAAAUACUCCUGACUGACCGAUAGUGAACCAGUACCGUGAGGGAAAGGCGAAAAGAACCCCGGCGAGGGGAGUGAAAAAGAACCUGAAACCGUGUACGUACAAGCAGUGGGAGCACAGAGCAAUCUGUGUGACUGCGUACCUUUUGUAUAAUGGGUCAGCGACUUAUAUUCUGUAGCAAGGUUAACCGAAUAGGGGAGCCGAAGGGAAACCGAGUCUUAACUGGGCGUUAAGUUGCAGGGUAUAGACCCGAAACCCGGUGAUCUAGCCAUGGGCAGGUUGAAGGUUGGGUAACACUAACUGGAGGACCGAACCGACUAAUGUUGAAAAAUUAGCGGAUGACUUGUGGCUGGGGGUGAAAGGCCAAUCAAACCGGGAGAUAGCUGGUUCUCCCCGAAAGCUAUUUAGGUAGCGCCUCGUGAAUUCAUCUCCGGGGGUAGAGCACUGUUUCGGCAAGGGGGUCAUCCCGACUUACCAACCCGAUGCAAACUGCGAAUACCGGAGAAUGUUAUCACGGGAGACACACGGCGGGUGCUAACGUCCGUCGUGAAGAGGGAAACAACCCAGACCGCCAGCUAAGGUCCCAAAGUCAUGGUUAAGUGGGAAACGAUGUGGGAAGGCCCAGACAGCCAGGAUGUUGGCUUAGAAGCAGCCAUCAUUUAAAGAAAGCGUAAUAGCUCACUGGUCGAGUCGGCCUGCGCGGAAGAUGUAACGGGGCUAAACCAUGCACCGAAGCUGCGGCAGCGACACUAUGUGUUGUUGGGUAGGGGAGCGUUCUGUAAGCCUGUGAAGGUGUACUGUGAGGUAUGCUGGAGGUAUCAGAAGUGCGAAUGCUGACAUAAGUAACGAUAAAGCGGGUGAAAAGCCCGCUCGCCGGAAGACCAAGGGUUCCUGUCCAACGUUAAUCGGGGCAGGGUGAGUCGACCCCUAAGGCGAGGCCGAAAGGCGUAGUCGAUGGGAAACAGGUUAAUAUUCCUGUACUUGGUGUUACUGCGAAGGGGGGACGGAGAAGGCUAUGUUGGCCGGGCGACGGUUGUCCCGGUUUAAGCGUGUAGGCUGGUUUUCCAGGCAAAUCCGGAAAAUCAAGGCUGAGGCGUGAUGACGAGGCACUACGGUGCUGAAGCAACAAAUGCCCUGCUUCCAGGAAAAGCCUCUAAGCAUCAGGUAACAUCAAAUCGUACCCCAAACCGACACAGGUGGUCAGGUAGAGAAUACCAAGGCGCUUGAGAGAACUCGGGUGAAGGAACUAGGCAAAAUGGUGCCGUAACUUCGGGAGAAGGCACGCUGAUAUGUAGGUGAAGCGACUUGCUCGUGGAGCUGAAAUCAGUCGAAGAUACCAGCUGGCUGCAACUGUUUAUUAAAAACACAGCACUGUGCAAACACGAAAGUGGACGUAUACGGUGUGACGCCUGCCCGGUGCCGGAAGGUUAAUUGAUGGGGUCAGCGCAAGCGAAGCUCUUGAUCGAAGCCCCGGUAAACGGCGGCCGUAACUAUAACGGUCCUAAGGUAGCGAAAUUCCUUGUCGGGUAAGUUCCGACCUGCACGAAUGGCGUAAUGAUGGCCAGGCUGUCUCCACCCGAGACUCAGUGAAAUUGAACUCGCUGUGAAGAUGCAGUGUACCCGCGGCAAGACGGAAAGACCCCGUGAACCUUUACUAUAGCUUGACACUGAACAUUGAGCCUUGAUGUGUAGGAUAGGUGGGAGGCUUAGAAGUGUGGACGCCAGUCUGCAUGGAGCCGACCUUGAAAUACCACCCUUUAAUGUUUGAUGUUCUAACGUGGACCCGUGAUCCGGGUUGCGGACAGUGUCUGGUGGGUAGUUUGACUGGGGCGGUCUCCUCCUAAAGAGUAACGGAGGAGCACGAAGGUUGGCUAAUCCUGGUCGGACAUCAGGAGGUUAGUGCAAUGGCAUAAGCCAGCUUGACUGCGAGCGUGACGGCGCGAGCAGGUGCGAAAGCAGGUCAUAGUGAUCCGGUGGUUCUGAAUGGAAGGGCCAUCGCUCAACGGAUAAAAGGUACUCCGGGGAUAACAGGCUGAUACCGCCCAAGAGUUCAUAUCGACGGCGGUGUUUGGCACCUCGAUGUCGGCUCAUCACAUCCUGGGGCUGAAGUAGGUCCCAAGGGUAUGGCUGUUCGCCAUUUAAAGUGGUACGCGAGCUGGGUUUAGAACGUCGUGAGACAGUUCGGUCCCUAUCUGCCGUGGGCGCUGGAGAACUGAGGGGGGCUGCUCCUAGUACGAGAGGACCGGAGUGGACGCAUCACUGGUGUUCGGGUUGUCAUGCCAAUGGCACUGCCCGGUAGCUAAAUGCGGAAGAGAUAAGUGCUGAAAGCAUCUAAGCACGAAACUUGCCCCGAGAUGAGUUCU